rnacentral:SRP_RNA from 1 species
AACCCCCCGUGCGGCGGCACCUCGCCCAACUCCCCCAGGGCCGGAAGGCAGCAAGGGUAAGUGAGCUCUGCUGGGUGCACGGGGGGCCUCU